UCCUCCUUACAGAGGCAGUUUGUUCCGAGUCCCCGACAUUACUCGCUGGUAACAGAACAUGAGGGUUGCGCUCGUUGCGGGACUUAACCCAACAUUUCACAACACGAGCUGACGACAGCCAUGCACCACCUGUGUAUCACCCUCGAAGGCGACACCGUUUCGGGUGCUUGCAGAUACAUGUCAAGCCCUGGUAAGGUUCUUCGCGUUGCAUCGAAUUAAGCCACAUGCUCCACCGCUUGUGCGGGCCCCCGCCAAUUCCUUUGAGUUUCAACCUUGCGGCCGUAGUCCCCAGGCGGUUCACUUAAUGCGUUAGCUGCGGCACCGAGGAUUGCUCCCCAACACCUAGUGAACAUAGUUUAGGGCCAAGACUAC
rnacentral:misc_RNA from 1 species